GAUUCACUGCGGCGUUGGUGACUGCCAAUACUGUUUUGCGAUCUAUGCUUUGUUUACCAGGGAAUCGAGUAGUGCCGAUGGCAGUAUACCGGGCUUGUACUCGGAAACUUUAAAUCGGUGCCGGAAUUCCCACCUGGAUUUUCCAGGUCGGAAGCUGAGGUAAGACGGCGUUGUGGUGAUCUC
rnacentral:other from 1 species